GUGUAUGUAGAACUUCACCACGCAAAUAAUUUUAGUACUAAAUAAAAAGAACUGGACCCACCCCCCAUACAAAACAUCUCUACAGGUUAUACAUCAGAGAUCAGGCCAAGCACCAGACAUCUAUUUACAGGGCCUUGUAGAUAAGUGAUCUGAGAAGUUAGACAACAAUCUAUAUCUGACCUGGUUCUUAUGAACCUACUUGCUUGUAAUAAUCUGUGAGUCAGAAUGUGAAUCAAAACUCUGAAGUUGUAUACAAACUUAAAAGAUACGAAUACUGCUUACACACUUGUCAACCAACCCCCUACCGGGGAUAGAUACGGAGCCCCCUACCUAAAUACGACACAUCUUGACAACCAAGUGUAUUGACUGUACUGUUCUAGUUAGUUAAUUAGUUUUGUGGUUUAUUGUAUUUCCUGUUUGUCCUGCU